GUUAAGCGACUAAGCGUACACGGUGGAUGCCCUGGCAGUCAGAGGCGAUGAAGGACGUGCUAAUCUGCGAUAAGCGUCGGUGAGGUGAUAUGAACCGUUAUAACCGGCGAUUUCCGAAUGGGGAAACCCAGUGUGUUUCGACACACUAUCAUUAACUGAAUCCAUAGGUUAAUGAGGCGAACCGGGGGAACUGAAACAUCUAAGUACCCCGAGGAAAAGAAAUCAACCGAGAUUCCCCCAGUAGCGGCGAGCGAACGGGGAGGAGCCCAGAGCCUGAAUCAGUGUGUGUGUUAGUGGAAGCGUCUGGAAAGGCGCGCGAUACAGGGUGACAGCCCCGUACACAAAAAUGCACAUAUUGUGAGCUCGAUGAGUAGGGCGGGACACGUGGUAUCCUGUCUGAAUAUGGGGGGACCAUCCUCCAAGGCUAAAUACUCCUGACUGACCGAUAGUGAACCAGUACCGUGAGGGAAAGGCGAAAAGAACCCCGGCGAGGGGAGUGAAAAAGAACCUGAAACCGUGUACGUACAAGCAGUGGGAGCCUCUUUAUGGGGUGACUGCGUACCUUUUGUAUAAUGGGUCAGCGACUUAUAUUCUGUAGCAAGGUUAACCGAAUAGGGGAGCCGAAGGGAAACCGAGUCUUAACUGGGCGUUAAGUUGCAGGGUAUAGACCCGAAACCCGGUGAUCUAGCCAUGGGCAGGUUGAAGGUUGGGUAACACUAACUGGAGGACCGAACCGACUAAUGUUGAAAAAUUAGCGGAUGACUUGUGGCUGGGGGUGAAAGGCCAAUCAAACCGGGAGAUAGCUGGUUCUCCCCGAAAGCUAUUUAGGUAGCGCCUCGUGAAUUCAUCUCCGGGGGUAGAGCACUGUUUCGGCAAGGGGGUCAUCCCGACUUACCAACCCGAUGCAAACUGCGAAUACCGGAGAAUGUUAUCACGGGAGACACACGGCGGGUGCUAACGUCCGUCGUGAAGAGGGAAACAACCCAGACCGCCAGCUAAGGUCCCAAAGUCAUGGUUAAGUGGGAAACGAUGUGGGAAGGCCCAGACAGCCAGGAUGUUGGCUUAGAAGCAGCCAUCAUUUAAAGAAAGCGUAAUAGCUCACUGGUCGAGUCGGCCUGCGCGGAAGAUGUAACGGGGCUAAACCAUGCACCGAAGCUGCGGCAGCGACACUAUGUGUUGUUGGGUAGGGGAGCGUUCUGUAAGCCUGUGAAGGUGGCCUGUGAGGGUUGCUGGAGGUAUCAGAAGUGCGAAUGCUGACAUAAGUAACGAUAAAGCGGGUGAAAAGCCCGCUCGCCGGAAGACCAAGGGUUCCUGUCCAACGUUAAUCGGGGCAGGGUGAGUCGACCCCUAAGGCGAGGCCGAAAGGCGUAGUCGAUGGGAAACAGGUUAAUAUUCCUGUACUUGGUGUUACUGCGAAGGGGGGACGGAGAAGGCUAUGUUGGCCGGGCGACGGUUGUCCCGGUUUAAGCGUGUAGGCUGGUUUUCCAGGCAAAUCCGGAAAACCAAGGCUGAGGCGUGAUGACGAGGCACUACGGUGCUGAAGCGACAAAUGCCCUGCUUCCAGGAAAAGCCUCUAAGCAUCAGGUAACAUCAAAUCGUACCCCAAACCGACACAGGUGGUCAGGUAGAGAAUACCAAGGCGCUUGAGAGAACUCGGGUGAAGGAACUAGGCAAAAUGGUGCCGUAACUUCGGGAGAAGGCACGCUGAUAUGUAGGUGAAGCGACUUGCUCGUGGAGCUGAAAUCAGUCGAAGAUACCAGCUGGCUGCAACUGUUUAUUAAAAACACAGCACUGUGCAAACACGAAAGUGGACGUAUACGGUGUGACGCCUGCCCGGUGCCGGAAGGUUAAUUGAUGGGGUUAGCGGUAACGCGAAGCUCUUGAUCGAAGCCCCGGUAAACGGCGGCCGUAACUAUAACGGUCCUAAGGUAGCGAAAUUCCUUGUCGGGUAAGUUCCGACCUGCACGAAUGGCGUAAUGAUGGCCAGGCUGUCUCCACCCGAGACUCAGUGAAAUUGAACUCGCUGUGAAGAUGCAGUGUACCCGCGGCAAGACGGAAAGACCCCGUGAACCUUUACUAUAGCUUGACACUGAACAUUGAGCCUUGAUGUGUAGGAUAGGUGGGAGGCUUUGAAGUGUGGACGCCAGUCUGCAUGGAGCCGACCUUGAAAUACCACCCUUUAAUGUUUGAUGUUCUAACGUUGGCCCGUAAUCCGGGUUGCGGACAGUGUCUGGUGGGUAGUUUGACUGGGGCGGUCUCCUCCUAAAGAGUAACGGAGGAGCACGAAGGUUGGCUAAUCCUGGUCGGAC
rnacentral:rRNA from 1 species